UGGUCGGAGCAUCGCCCCGCCCACCAACAGGUUGCAGGGUUCAAUUCCUGGUCAGGACACAUAUCUAGUCUGCAGGUUCAAUUCCUGGUCAGGAUGCAUACAGGAGGCAACCAGUGUUUCUCUUUCACAACAAUGUUUCUCUUUCUUUGUCUCUCUCCCUCUCGCCUUUCCUCUCUCUCUAGAAUCAAUAUAAAACUUAUCUUCAGUUGAAGAUUUAAAAAAAAGAGAAUACCCUAGGAAAAAAGUAUGAUGGCUAAGUUUUUUAUUCCACUU